UACGUAGGGUGCGAGCGUUUAAUCGGAAUUACUGGGCGUAAAGGGUGCGCAGGCGGCGUCGCAAGUCAGGCGUGAAAUCCCCGGGCUUAACCUGGGAACUGCACUUGAAACUACGAUGCUGGAGUAUGGCAGAGGGAGGUGGAAUUCCACGUGUAGCGGUGAAAUGCGUAGAUAUCGGAAGGAACACCAGUGGCGAAAGCGGCUUCCUGGUCCAGCACCGACGUCAGGCACGAAAGCGUGGGGAGCAAACAGGA
rnacentral:rRNA from 1 species